AGAGUUUGAUCCUGGCUCAGAUUGAACGCUGGCGGCGUGCUUAACACAUGCAAGUCGAACGCGAAAGGGGGCUUCGGCUCCCGAGUAGAGUGGCGCACGGGUGAGUAACGCGUGGAUAAUCUGCCCUCUUGUUCGGGAUAACUGCUGGAAACGGCAGCUAAUACCGGAUAAGCUCCACCAAUUGUAUGGUGGAGGAAAGGAGGCCUCUUCAUGAAAGCUUCCGCGAGGGGAUGAGUCCGCGUCCCAUUAGCUAGUUGGUGAGGUAACGGCCCACCAAGGCAACGAUGGGUAGCCGGUCUAAGAGGAUGACCGGCCACACUGGAACUGAAACACGGUCCAGACUCCUACGGGAGGCAGCAGUGGGGAAUAUUGCGCAAUGGACGAAAGUCUGACGCAGCGACGCCGCGUGAGGGAUGAAGGUUUUCGGAUCGUAAACCUCUGUCAGGAGGGAAGAAAGCGCAUGGCGCCAAUCAGCCAUGCGUUGACGGUACCUCCAAAGGAAGCGCCGGCUAACUCCGUGCCAGCAGCCGCGGUAAUACGGAGGGCGCGAGCGUUAAUCGGAAUUACUGGGCGUAAAGCGCGCGUAGGCUGUUGUGUAAGUUGGGGGUGAAAUCCCACGGCUCAACCGUGGAACAGCCCUUGAUACUGCGCGACUUGAAUCCGGGAGAGGGUGGCGGAAUUCCAGGUGUAGGAGUGAAAUCCGUAGAUAUCUGGAGGAACAUCAGUGGCGAAGGCGGCCACCUGGACCGGUAUUGACGCUGAGGCGCGAAAGCGUGGGGAGCAAACAGGAUUAGAUACCCUGGUAGUCCACGCUGUAAACGAUG
rnacentral:rRNA from 1 species